rnacentral:rRNA from 1 species
GACGAACGCUGGCGGCGUGCUUAACACAUGCAAGUCGAACGGAAAGGCCCUGCUUUUGUGGGGUGCUCGAGUGGCGAACGGGUGAGUAACACGUGAGUAACCUGCCCUUGACUUUGGGAUAACUUCAGGAAACUGGGGCUAAUAUCGGAUAGGAGCUCCUGCUGCAUGGUGGGGGUUGGAAAGUUUCGGCGGUUGGGGAUGGAAUCGCGGCUUAUCAGCUUGUUGGUGGGGUAGUGGCUUACCAAGGCUUUGACGGGUAGCCGGCCUGAGAGGGUGACCGGCCACAUUGGGCCUAAGAUACGGCCCAGACUCCUACGGGAGGCAACAGUGGGGAGUAUUGCACAGUGGGCGGAAGCCUGAUGCAGCAACGCCGCGUGCGGGAUGACGGCCUUCGGGUUGAAAACCGCUUUCGCCUGUGACGAAGCGUGAGUGACGGUAAUGGAUAAAGAAGCACCGGCUAACUACGUG